GGGCCAUUAGCUCAAUUGGUAGAGCAGGCGACUCUUAAUCGUCAGGUUUAGGGUUCGAGUCCCUAAUGGCCCACCA
rnacentral:tRNA from 1 species